rnacentral:sRNA from 1 species
ACCAGAUGCGUACCUGUAAUACCUGCUACUCAGUAGGCUGAUGUAGGAGGAUUGCUGGAGCCCAGGAGUUUGAGGCCAGCCUAGGCAACAUAGCAAGAUCUUUUUUUU